UACGUAGGUGGCAAGCGUUGUCCGGAAUUACUGGGUGUAAAGGGAGCGUAGGCGGGGACGCAAGUUGAAUGUUAAACCAAUCGGCUCAACCGAUUGUUGCGUUCAAAACUGUGUCUCUUGAGUGGAGUAGAGGCAGGCGGAAUUCCCAGUGUAGCGGUGAAAUGCGUAGAUAUUGGGAGGAACACCAGUGGCGAAGGCGGCCUGCUGGGCUCUAACUGACGCUGAGGCUCGAAAGUGUGGGUAGCAAACAGGAUUAGAUACCCUGGUAGUCCACACUGUAAACGAUGAUCACUAGGUGUGGGGGGUCUGACCCCUUCCGUGCCGGAGUUAACACAAUAAGUGAUCCACCUGGGGAGUACGACCGCAAGGUUGAA
rnacentral:rRNA from 1 species